UGAGGAAUAUUGCGCAAUGGGGGCAACCCUGACGCAGCAACGCCGCGUGAGUGAGGAAGGUUUUCGGACCGUAAAGCUCUGUCGAGCGGGAAGAAAUGCAUGGUGGCUAAUAUCCAUCAUGCUUGACGGUACCGCUAGAGGAAGCACCGGCUAACUCCGUGCCAGCAGCCGCGGUAAUACGGGGGGUGCAAGCGUUGUUCGGAAUUAUUGGGCGUAAAGAGCGUGUAGGCGGCUGAAUAAGUCAGAUGUGAAAUCCCUGGGCUUAACCCAGGACGUGCAUUUGAAACUAUUCAGCUUGAGUAAGGGAGAGGAAAGUGGAAUUCCUGGUGUAGAGGUGAAACUCGUAGAUAUCAGGAGGAACACCGGUGGCGAAGGCGACUUUCUGGCCCUAUACUGACGCUGAGACGCGAGAGCGUGGGUAGCAAACAG
rnacentral:rRNA from 1 species